rnacentral:lncRNA from 1 species
ACCAACUGUCGGAAUUCACUCGCCUAAAGGUUAUGGCAAAACCUUAGAGUAUCAAGGAAACUCUUAAGAACCUCUCUAAGCUUUAAGGCUACUUCGCUUAGGAACCAGUCUUUUACGGGUAGACUCACACCUUAGAGUAUCAAGGGCACUCUUAAGAACCUCUAACUUUUGCGGGUAAGUUAGUACCUUGGAGUAUCAAGGAACUCUUAAAAACCUCUCUAAGCUUUAAGGUUACUUCUCUUAGGAACCAGUCUUUUACGGGUAGACUCACACCUUAGAGUAUCAAGGGCACUCUUAAGAACCUCUAACUUUUACGGGUAAGUUAGUACCUUAGAGUAUCAAAGAACUCUUAAAAACCUAGAAAUCUUUCAAGGUAGAUUCGACCUAAGAGUUUUCCCG